rnacentral:rRNA from 1 species
UACAGAGGUGGCAAGCGUUGUUCGGAAUUACUGGGCGUAAAGGGCGCGUAGGCGGCUUGGUCAGUCCCGUGUGAAAUCCCUCGGCUCAACUGAGGAACUGCACGGGAAACUGCCUGGCUUGAGUUCGGGAGAGGGAAGCGGAAUUCCGGGUGUAGCGGUGAAAUGCGUAGAUAUCUGGAGGAAUACCGGUGGCGAAGGCGGCAUCCUGGACCAUUACUGACGCUGAGGCGCGAAAGCUAGGGGAGCAAACGGG